GGUGCUUGUGUAUGUUCUAGUUUACCGUGUGGGGGAUGUAGUGUACAGCAGUAGCG
rnacentral:lncRNA from 1 species